UGCUGCGUUCUUCCUGGCCGGUCGUGAAUGCGUGUAAGAUGGAGGUGAGUGAUGAAGAGGGCCAUCCCAGGAUGGAGGCUGAAUCUCUCUGUCACGGGCUGGAGAAGAACCCUGCCAGCCUAUGUCAACAUUUCCUUGUUUCUGCUGUGUUGAGCCACCGAGAAUUAGAGGCUUACAUCUGGAGGAUGAAGAAACAACACCCAUGUUAAAUUUGAAGUCAUUUAGAAACCAUUUCUGCUCCUGCUUUAUUUAUGAAGCUGACUGUGUGGAAUCUAAGUGGCUAAGGACACCUACCGUACAUACCUCAUCUGAGAACAGAGGUCAGGCUUAAGGGAGCAGAGUUUGGAUGGGAAGGAGAAGAGGCUGGGCUGGGCUGAGAAAAGCAGCCAAGUGAAGCCAGAGAUGGAGCCAUGGCAGUGGAGUGGCCACAGAAACCUUCCAAGCAGCGGACACAAAGAAGUGGGAGCUCCUGGCACUGGGGAGCUACAGCAACAGGAAGAGGCUACACCUGCAAAGGAAGCAAAAUGAGAAUCCUGCCUGUUCCGCAUUCUAUUUUCUGAGUUGAGAAUUCCACCUUCCCCACCAGGUAGAAGAAAGAUUGUCCUUAAAAAUACCUUCAACUUGGGUCUGGGGUGCCAGAGAGACAAGGGUCCAAGGAAGAUGGAGGCAUUCUAGGCCCAUUUGGAAAGGCUAUGAAAAGCUAAAAGGUUUUCAAUACAGAGAGAGGCCGAAUGAGAGAUAUCCAAAAAGAAGCUGGGAAUUAGAAAUAAUGCCACUACAAGUAUCUACAUUUUCCUAACAGCCAAGAAGUUUCAGAUGCCAAAACUGCCUACACAGGUGAUGGAUCGCUCCAGCCCCAGAAAUGUGGCUCUGUGACACAAUUAACCUCUUGAUGAGAGAUUCCUCUCAGUUAAAUUUUUGUUGACAGGUGUCCGAACCUAGACAACUUUGAAGCUUGACUGACAGCUGGAGAAGGGGAGGUCUCAGUCCCAUCUCCCCCUCUCACCCCAUCUUCCCACCUCUUCUCCAAUCCCUUCUGGGCACUGAGCCCUCUUCUCCAGUGAACAUUGCUUUGUCCCUCACUUCUGUUUGAAUGGAGACCUCUCCUAUCUCCAUCUGUGCCCUCAGAGGUCACAGUACAUAUUUUAAAACCAGCGUGUAGAAGUCCUCUAGGUGGAGAGCUCCAGCUUGUGUGUAUCAUUUGCCUUGGUUUGCCCAUUAGGUUGUAGAGGCGCAACAAAUACUUCUGAAAGAAUGGUGACAUCAGUAAUCACAGAACAAUGAAUCAGGUCCAGUAGUUAUCCACCUUUGGCAUGCUAAUGUGGGGGCUUGGGAUAUAAAGGCACAUUUAAAGAAAUUAAAUUACUUGAGAUAACACUAACGCGGUCACCCCAAAGCUACUUUGCAACCACCACUGUAGUACACAAAACAUCUUGCUGUCUCUAUAAAAGCGUGCAAAGCCAUUGCACUGCUCACUGGGUGGAAUUAUUAUAUGCCAUUAAGACUGCUCUCCCACAGGGCUGGGGAUAGAGUUCCAUGGCACAGCCCUGUCUUGUAUUUGCAAGGCCCCUGAGUUCAACCCUCAGUGCCACAAAACAAACAAACAAACAACAAAAACAAGGGGCAGACGACUCUGGCAUCCUAAUGAACCUGGGCAUCUUGGGAGGUCACAUCACCCUGGUCUUGUACAAGUUAGUCAAAGGGUUUCGUGCUCACUGUGUACGAAACCUGAUCAGCGCUGCAUCCGCCAACCAUCAUCUAGAUAUUGGGAGAGAGAUCAAUAAAGCCCCCUUAGGGAGUAAACCACCCAUUGCGCUGUGUAUCCUCUCAGAGGAUACUCAGGUAAGAAUGAGAGAAGUUGCUUUGUGCUGGAACAAGAAGGACUUUUCCAGAAUUCCAUGACAAUGUCCUCCAGGUAAGGAGGGCAGCAAAGGUCCUCAUAGAAUUCACUUAGUUGGAAAGAAAAGAAACUUUAAUAUGGGUACUUUUCAGAUCUCUGGAGAACAAAAGAAAAUCAUCAUGUUUAGAAUCAUUGUGACAAUUCUCCACUGUUCCUCUUUCUCACAACCAAGGGGGUCAUCCUUGCAGGGAAGAAGUCAGUGCUGAGAAGGUCUACAUGCCUGUCUCAUGCCUACGAGUGAUGGAAAGGGUACUGGGGACCCCAUGGGUCCUAGGGGGAAAGAAGCACAGAUCUGUGGAUUUGAAUCAGGCUACAUCUUAGAAGGUAAGGAGAAAGGGCAUCUUAUGGUUUUCAGUGAGACCACACAACACAGGAUACUCCAGGACACCGAGAGGAUGAAACACAACAUCUGGGUGUCUCCUGCAGAAGCUUCAAUUCAAGCCACUUACCUGGAGAGGGAGCUGUUACCGUGAAACCCAGUCCAUGAGAUAUAUGCAGCAGCCUCAUCUAAGUGGGUUCUGUGUCUGAAAAGACUAAUCUGUCAGCAACAUGUUCCUGCACAGCCCCUGGAUAAUUAAAUUUCCAUGUGGCUAGCUCCCUAGAAUCCUGUGUGCUCUGAACUUUGGAACCUCAUGCCUUAUUCCUUAAGGGCUAAAGGGAACUUUUUUUUUUUUUUUUUUUUUUUUGGGCCAGUGAUAAGACUCUGGUAGAUGAUUUAAACUUAUUAUUGCUCUGGGAAGUUACUUAAUCACCCUGAUCCUUAGAUUUCCCCAUGGGAAAAAGACAUAGCCAUCAUCAUCAUCAUCAUAGCCAUCACUACGGCCAUUAAACAUUAUUAGAUACAUUAGGCAAAAGGUUUUUGCGAGGUGUUGAGUGUAUUGUCUGGCACAUGGUAACACCUGGAAUUAAUAUGUAGUAGUAACUGUCACAGGCCCUUUGAGAAAAUGAAAGAAGCCACAUGGAAUUUGGCAGGCAUCUAGUAACUGGCUAAGUGAGAUGCCCAGAGCCCUUAUGAGGAAGACACUUUAAUGAUAUCUUCUACAUUUACUUUCAUAAUAGAGAAAUCUUAUCUCUUGUACUUUUCUCAACAGUUUAUGUUGUCCUUCAGUUUCUGGGAGUCAGUGAAUGUCUGCUCUAGAGACUUUCUAGGUGUGAUCAGGUCCCUGGACCUCACUAACUCAAGGAUGGAGAUGGUACCCACCUUUCAGUGACACAAUGAAGAAGGAAGUUACAGAGCCCAUGUAAAGUGCUUAUUGGAUAUCAGACAGGGAAAUGCUUGUUACAAAGUAACUUCUAGUGAUGGGGAAGACAUGAGAGAGAAUAGGCCCGUGUAUUCAGACAUUCUACAUGUGUAUAUGACUGUCAAAGUAGUAAUUUUUACUGGAAGAAGGCUUCAGAGCAAGCUGGCCUUUCUGAGUUUGCUGUGUACUCACACACUGUCGAUCAUGAGGUUUGAAAUCUUGGUAAGUGUCUACUGCUGUCCACGGGCCUGGCAGCCAUGAUGGUUUUCCUGUGGAGAUCUUGUCGAUACGAUGACACUUAGUUCUGACUGUUAACAUGACACAGUGUAGAAUCACCGAGGGAGGGAGUCUUACUGAUGAAUUGUCUAGGUUGACCUGUGGGCAUGUCUUGAUUAUGUUAGUUGAUGUGGGGAGACCCAGCCCCAAAGUUUGUGGCACCAUCCCUUAGGCUGAACCUAUGAAAUAAAGAUGAAAGUGA